UUAGUACGAAAGGACCAGAAUUAARAAAUAAUUUUUUAUUAUUGAAUACUAUUAACUAUUUUGGCAGAAAAGUGUCAUGAAUUUAGAAUUCAUAAAUGUAAGAUAAUCUUACAGAUAGUAC
rnacentral:misc_RNA from 1 species